rnacentral:lncRNA from 1 species
UCACUUUUGAACCCUUUAAAAAUGUUCCCCAGGGCUCAUUUAAUAAAACAAUAGAUCCCUAUUUAUAAAAUUUUGAUUUCCCUAGUCUUUACAAACCAUCUGAGCCCUGCCCACCACUUUUCUAAAUGCAACCUACAGAACACAUUUUCACAUUCAGAGUUUGUGUUUUUCCACAUCAAACAUAAUUACCUGUGAACUAUUUUGUGAUAUUUCUGCAAAAUAAAUUACAUUACAAUGCAUUUUGGACUCCAUUAACUACAUAAAACAAUUGAUUUGAGUCUAUUGCAUCCUUAGCAUGGUGAUAUAAACUGAAAUAGAUGUUAUUAUAAAUGCUAAAGGUGCCUCAUGUGUACCCUUCAGGCUUCUCUAGUGGUGCUGAAAUGAGGUGAUGAUUCCACAAAAACUCAACUAGCAACCAGAGUAUCUUUAUACAUCUCCUGCAUUCAUUGCAAGAAGAAUGGAUUUCAACUCUCAGGGAGGCAGAGUCAUACCUGAAGAUUUAACUGACAUGAGGUGGACACAGCCUCCUUCCCACCACCCUCCAGUGACAGUCCUGUUCCAGCCUAGCUUCAGUGGACAAAGCAUCCAGUCACAACAUGUGCAACCACUGUAUGCCACAAGGAUGCUUCCUUGUGCUGUGGAGGAUACAACAAAGCUUGUUUCUUUUGGAAGCGAGCCACUAUGUUGCACAGAAGCUCAGGCUGGACAACAGGAUAAUGAGAGGCCAGAUAGAGGGAGGUCUACACAAUGAGACCAUCUUGGACAUCUUGGACAUUCCAGCCACAAUAGAUCUCCCAGCUGGAUGUAGUUACCAGAGUGAUCUCAGCUACACUAUGGGGAACAAAAGACCUACUGAGCUGCUCCUAGCAAACCCAUGGAAUUGUGACAAAAAAUAAAUCAUUGUUGUUUGCA